ensembl:lncRNA
GCAUUGUGGGCUGAAGCUGCUUUAUCUACUGUGUGUGUGUGCUAUAAUAAGAAUGUGUGCUGUUUGCGAGUUCCUUUUUCCUGCGAGGAUGAGGAAGUGACCUACAUAGACCCUAAGUGUUUGAGCGCUGGAUUUGCAUUCAGAAGAGCGUGGAAGAACAACACGACUGCUCUCCAAAAAUGAUGAGAUGUAAUGCGGUUUAGUGGCAGGGUGGCGCUGUGAGAAACAAAGGCUGAAGCUGAUAGAAAGCUUCUGUUAUUGUGCCUUUAUCAGAAAAAGAGUGAACGCGAACUGACUCAUAACACUUGCGCACGUGGAAGAAAACAGACAGUGCUCUACAGAUCAAAUAAUUCAGGCUGGUUUUCAAAACAGCGCCACCGCUCUUGCCAUUGUGUGCAACAGCAGCUGCUCCGGUCACGUGAUCCAAGUUCAAAUCUUAUUGGAUGGCCUGUGUCUUUGCGAAACUGAAAAGAU